rnacentral:rRNA from 1 species
GCUUGCUCUUCUGGAUGAGUUGCGAACGGGUGAGUAACGCGUAGGUAACCUGCCUGGUAGCGGGGGAUAACUAUUGGAAACGAUAGCUAAUACCGCAUGACAACAGUUAUUGCAUGAUAACUGUUUAAAAGGGGCAAUUGCUCCACUACCAGAUGGACCUGCGUUGUAUUAGCUAGUUGGUGAGGUAACGGCUCACCAAGGCGACGAUACAUAGCCGACCUGAGAGGGUGAUCGGCCACACUGGGACUGAGACACGGCCCAGACUCCUACGGGAGGCAGCAGUAGGGAAUCUUCGGCAAUGGACGGAAGUCUGACCGAGCAACGCCGCGUGAGUGAAGAAGGUUUUCGGAUCGUAAAGCUCUGUUGUAAGAGAAGAACGAGUGUGAGAGUGGAAAGUUCACACUGUGACGGUAUCUUACCAGAAAGGGACGGCUAACUACGUGCCAGCAGCCGCGGUAAUACGUAGGUCCCGAGCGUUAUCCGGAUUUAUUGGGCGUAAAGCGAGCGCAGGCGGUUAGAUAAGUCUGAAGUUAAAGGCUGUGGCUUAACCAUAGUACGCUUUGGAAACUGUUUA